GGCAACUUGGCCGAGCGGUUAUGGCGCCAGUUUCAGGUUCACCUGAUUCAUAAACUACUGGUUCGAAAGAGCGUGGGUUCGAAUCCCACAGUUGUCA
rfam:Pseudogymnoascus pannorum VKM F-3557 contig_3141, whole genome shotgun sequence.